GGACGCUUCGGGGGUUUCGGCCCCNCGGGGAGUGGCGCACGGGUGAGUAACGCGUGGGAACCUGUCCUUUUGUGGGGGAUAACCGAGGGAAACUUCGGCUAAUACCGCAUGCGCCCCGGGCGACCGGGGGAAAGAUUUAUCGCAGAGGGAGGGGCCCGCGUCGGAUUAGGUUGUUGGUGGGGUAACGGCCUACCAAGCCGAUGAUCCGUAGCUGGUCUGAGAGGAUGAUCAGCCACACUGGGACUGAGACACGGCCCAGACUCCUACGGGAGGCAGCAGUGGGGAAUAUUGGACAAUGGGCGCAAGCCUGAUCCAGCAAUGCCGCGUGAGUGAUGAAGGCCUUCGGGUUGUAAAGCUCUUUGGGCGGGGACGAUGAUGACGGUACCCGCAGAACAAGCCCCGGCUAACUUCGUG
rnacentral:rRNA from 1 species